rnacentral:rRNA from 1 species
GACGAACGCUGGCGGCGUGCCUAAUACAUGCAAGUAGAACGCUGAAGAGAGGAGCUUACUCUUCUUGGAUGAGUUGCGAACGGGUGAGUAACGCGUAGGUAACCUGCCUUGUAGCGGGGGAUAACUAUUGGAAACGAUAGCUAAUACCGCAUAACAAUGGAUGACACAUGUGAUUUAUUUGAAAGGGGCAAUUGCUCCACUACAAGAUGGACCUGCGUUGUAUUAGCUAGUAGGUGAGGUAAUGGCUCACCUAGGCGACGAUACAUAGCCGACCUGAGAGGGUGAUCGGCCACACUGGGACUGAGACACGGCACAGACUCCUACGGGAGGCAGCAGGAGGGAAUCUUCGGCAAUGGGGGCAACACUGACCGAGCAACGCCGCGUGAGUGAAGAAGGUUUUCGGAUCGUAAAGCUCUGUUGUAAGUCAAGAACGGGUGUGAGAGUGGAAAGUUCACACUGUGACGGUAGCUUACCAGAAAGGGACGGCUAACUACGUG